UACGGAGGGUGCAAGCGUUAUCCGGAUUUACUGGGUUUAAAGGGUGCGUAGGCGGGCCUGUAAGUCAGUGGUGAAAUCUUCCCGCUUAACGGGAAAACUGCCAUUGAUACUAUAGGUCUUGAAUUCAGUUGAGGUGGGCGGAAUGUGUCGUGUAGCGGUGAAAUGCUUAGAUAUGACACAGAACACCGAUUGCGAAGGCAGCUAGCUAAACCGACAUUGACGCUGAGGCACGAAAGCGUGGGGAUCAAACAGG
rnacentral:rRNA from 1 species